GACGAACGCUGGCGGCGUGCCUAACACAUGCAAGUCGAACGGAGCAGAUCCCUUCGGGGGUUUGCUUAGUGGCGAACGGGUGAGUAACGCGUGAGGAACCUGCCUUUCCCAGUGGGGGACAACAGUUGGAAACGACUGCUAAUACCGCAUAAUGCAGCGAGGGGACAUCCUCUUGCUGCCAAAGAUUUAUCGCUCUGAGAUGGACUCGCGUCUGAUUAGCUAGUUGGCGGGGUAACGGCCCACCAAGGCGACGAUCAGUAGCCGGACUGAGAGGUUGACCGGCCACAUUGGGACUGAGAUACGGCCCAG
rnacentral:rRNA from 1 species